rnacentral:snRNA from 1 species
UUGCUGCUUCGGCAGCACAUACACUAAAAUUGGAACGAUGCAGCGAAGAUUAGCAUGACCCCUGCAAAAGGAUGACACACAAAUUCGUGAAGCAGUCCAUAUUAAA